rnacentral:lncRNA from 1 species
CCGUGUCCUUCAUACAGCUGAGACACAUGGUCGUGCCUCUGUCCGUGUGUUUACUACUAGGCAAUCUGUUUUACAUUAUUAGGGUGCAGGGGACACAUGGCCGGAUCACACACCAAUGGGGUAAACCGUGUGUCACACAUGGCCAAGAUACAUGCCCGUGUGUCUAACCAUGUGGACAAUUUCUAGGCUAUUUUCCAAGCCAGUUGCCACCCUUAAACACUCACAUACUUAUACUCAC